UACGGAGGGUGCAAGCGUUAUCCGGAUUCACUGGGUUUAAAGGGUGCGUAGGUGGGCAAGUAAGUCAGUGGUGAAAUCUCCGGGCUUAACCCGGAAACUGCCAUUGAUACUAUUUGUCUUGAAUGUCGUGGAGGUUAGCGGAAUAUGUCAUGUAGCGGUGAAAUGCUUAGAUAUGACAUAGAACACCUAUUGCGAAGGCAGCUAACUACGCGAAUAUUGACGCUGAGGCACGAAAGCGUGGGGAUCAAACAGG
rnacentral:rRNA from 1 species